GGGGACCCCGGGGCCGCGUGGCCCGGUUCCGACCCUUCCACGACAUCUACGGAUACUCGGGGGUGUUCAUCUGCGGCCCGUCCCCGCACUGGCUGUUGCUCACAGGUCGCGGGGCUCUGCGCCUGCACCCCAUGGCCAUCGACGGCCCCGUGGAGUCCUUCGCACCUUUCCACAACGUCAACUGCCCCAAGGGAUUCCUGUACUUCAACCGGCAGGGGGAGCUGAGGAUCAGCGUGCUGCCCCCGUACCUGUCGUACGACGCGCCCUGGCCGGUGCGGAAGAUCCCCCUGCGCUGCACCGCUC